UACGGAGGGGACUAGCGUUGUUCGGAAUUACUGGGCGUAAAGCGCACGUAGGCGGAUUUGUAAGUCAGGGUGAAAUCCCGGGGCUCAACCUCGGAACUGCCUUUGAUACUGCAAAUCUCGAGUCCGGAAGAGGUGAGUGGAAUUCCUAGUGUAGAGGUGAAAUUCGUAGAUAUUAGGAAGAACACCAGUGGCGAAGGCGGCUC
rnacentral:rRNA from 1 species